CAAAGAAGUAACAAAUGAACACUUGUUUAUGUUAAGGGCACCUUUGUAGAUAUGUUGUGAGAAAACAGAUUUCAGGAGCCAUCUUGUCAGGAUGUGCUUGAAGAAAUGAGAGAGUGUUGCAGGAAGUGGGCACACAUUUCGCUUUGCUGUUCCGGUAUUGACAUAAGUGAUAAAG